ACGCUGUACGCCAUUUUGAUUUUAUACUCUGUCAUAUGUGGGGAUGUUUUGUUGGGUUGUAUUGUCUUGUUUUAUUUUAAAUAUUUUGUAAUAUUGAGUGCUAAGUGUAUAAAUAAAAAUGCAAAAAUAUAUAGUAUACAUAACUUUACAUAUUUGCUUAUGUGAAAUUUGUUCAGCUACAUUGAAAUCGAAAGAGUAUAAGAAAUAACCCCAAAAUGAAUUCUAUGAAGUGCUGUUUGAUAUAUAAUAUUAUGAAGGGCCCGCGUUUGGAGAUGUCUCAAAAAAAACUAGAGCUUAUUAUUUGGAUAUGAAAAUUUAGUUUUCGACAAUGCUACAAGAUACUAAAGGAUUGGAUUCUAAGUCUCGGUUUAAAUCCUAAAUUGCCUCGAAUAACAUAUGUGAUUAAUAUGAAAGAAUAUCGAGAGGGUUUUAACAGCAAAACAAGGAAUGA